UGUCCAACGUUAAUCGGGGCAGGGUGAGUCGACCCCUAAGGCGAGGCCGAAAGGCGUAGUCGAUGGGAAACGGGUUAAUAUUCCCGUACUUGGUGUUACUGCGAAGGGGGGACGGAGAAGGCUAUGUUGGCCGGGCGACGGUUGUCCCGGUUUAAGCGUGUAGGUGUGUGUUCCAGGUAAAUCCGGUUCACUUUAACACUGAGGCGUGAUGACGAGGCACUACGGUGCUGAAGCAACAAAUGCCCUGCUUCCAGGAAAAGCCUCUAAGCAUCAGGUAACAUCAAAUCGUACCCCAAACCGACACAGGUGGUCAGGUAGAGAAUACCAAGGCGCUUGAGAGAACUCGGGUGAAGGAACUAGGCAAAAUGGUGCCGUAACUUCGGGAGAAGGCACGCUGACACGUAGGUGAAGUGAUUUACUCAUGGAGCUGAAGUCAGUCGAAGAUACCAGCUGGCUGCAACUGUUUAUUAAAAACACAGCACUGUGCAAACACGAAAGUGGACGUAUACGGUGUGACGCCUGCCCGGUGCCGGAAGGUUAAUUGAUGGGGUCAGCGCAAGCGAAGCUCCUGAUCGAAGCCCCGGUAAACGGCGGCCGUAACUAUAACGGUCCUAAGGUAGCGAAAUUCCUUGUCGGGUAAGUUCCGACCUGCACGAAUGGCGUAAUGAUGGCCAGGCUGUCUCCACCCGAGACUCAGUGAAAUUGAACUCGCUGUGAAGAUGCAGUGUACCCGCGGCAAGACGGAAAGACCCCGUGAACCUUUACUAUAGCUUGACACUGAACAUUGAGCCUUGAUGUGUAGGAUAGGUGGGAGGCUUUGAAGUGUGGACGCCAGUCUGCAUGGAGCCGGCCUUGAAAUACCACCCUUUAAUGUUUGAUGUUCUAACGUGGACCCGUGAUCCGGGUUGCGGACAGUGUCUGGUGGGUAGUUUGACUGGGGCGGUCUCCUCCUAAAGAGUAACGGAGGAGCACGAAGGUUGGCUAAUCCUGGUCGGACAUCAGGAGGUUAGUGCAAUGGCAUAAGCCAGCUUGACUGCGAGCGUGACGGCGCGAGCAGGUGCGAAAGCAGGUCAUAGUGAUCCGGUGGUUCUGAAUGGAAGGGCCAUCGCUCAACGGAUAAAAGGUACUCCGGGGAUAACAGGCUGAUACCGCCCAAGAGUUCAUAUCGACGGCGGUGUUUGGCACCUCGAUGUCGGCUCAUCACAUCCUGGGGCUGAAGUAGGUCCCAAGGGUAUGGCUGUUCGCCAUUUAAAGUGGUACGCGAGCUGGGUUUAGAACGUCGUGAGACAGUUCGGUCCCUAUCUGCCGUGGGCGCUGGAGAACUGAGGGGGGCUGCUCCUAGUACGAGAGGACCGGAGUGGACGCAUCACUGGUGUUCGGGUUGUCAUGCCAAUGGCACUGCCCGGUAGCUAAAUGCGGAAGAGAUAAGUGCUGAAAGCAUCUAAGCACGAAACUUGCCCCGAGAUGAGUUCUCCCUGAGACUUUAGGUCUCCUGAAGGAACGUUGAAGACGACGACGUUGAUAGGCCGGGUGUGUAAGCGCAGCGAUGCGUUGAGCUAACCGGUACUAAUGAACCGUGAGGCUUAACCUUACA
rnacentral:rRNA from 1 species